rnacentral:rRNA from 1 species
ACGAACGCUGGCGGCGUGCUUCACACAUGCAAGUCGAACGGAAAGGCCCUGCUUGCAGGGUACUCGAGUGGCGAACGGGUGAGUAACACGUGGGUGAUCUGCCCUGCACUUCGGGAUAAGCCUGGGAAACUGGGUCUAAUACCGGAUAGGAGCCAUUUUUAGUGUGAUGGUUGGAAAGUUUUUUCGGUGUAGGAUGAGCUCGCGGCCUAUCAGCUUGUUGGUGGGGUAAUGGCCUACCAAGGCGGCGACGGGUAGCCGGCCUGAGAGGGUGGACGGCCACAUUGGGACUGAGAUACGGCCCAGACUCCUACGGGAGGCAGCAGUGGGGAAUAUUGCACAAUGGGCGCAAGCCUGAUGCAGCGACGCCGCGGGGGGGAUGACGGCCUUCGGGUUGUAAACUCCUUUCGCUAGGGACGAAGCUUUUUGUGACGGUACCUAGAGAAGAAGCACCGGCUAACUACGUG